rnacentral:tRNA from 1 species
GUUCCGUGUUCUAGUGGUAUGAUUUCUCCUUCACACGGAGAAGGUCCCGGGUUCGAUCCUGUCGUCU